AAAAGUCAGCUCUUUGCUAUGUCUAGCCCCAAUCCUUACGAUGUGGAUUAGACAGCUAUCCAGCAAUCCAUUCUUACUGUACAUGUGUAAUAGAUGUUGAGAACAUGUGGAUUAGACAGCUAUCCAGCAACCCAACAAACUGUACAUGUGUAAUAGAUGUUAUUAAGAACAUGUGGAAUAGACAGCUAUCCAGCAACCCAACAAACUUUUAUUCAAUUACAUCCCAUCCUAAAAUUUACUUAUAUAAUGAUAUACAUUUGUACUGAUAAAUGAGAAUAGACUGCUGACCAUCUCUUAUAAUCCUAGAGCAAUAUUUCCAAAGAAA
rnacentral:lncRNA from 1 species